rnacentral:lncRNA from 1 species
CAAAAUAUUUACUAUGAUUUGCUUCAUUGCACUUCUUAGGUGAGCAAGGUAUGAGGACAGCUGCUGUCAAAGAUGCACAGCUUGAGGAGAGCACAGCCUGGUGGUACAGCAGCUGAACUGAACUUCUUCCACAGCAUAAUUGUCCCAUCCAGGGCUGCCAUCCCUAUCCCUCACAUCUCUGCUGGAACAUCCCUCUGGCUCUCCCACACCAGGAGAAGUUCUGCUGCUGGAACACAAGGAUGAAGAGUUUCUUCAGACACUUCAUGUGCACUUUUCCUAGGAGAUUGUGAACUGGAGUGCUCUGGCAUGUUUGCCUUGCUCACCAGGCCAGAGAUGCAGUGGGACAAGUGACAAAGGGGACAAUUCAAAGAUCAGACCAUCAAAGAGCAAUGAUGCCUUCAGAAGAGAAGUUUGGCAAGUACAUAAAGGAUUAUAUUUAAUUAUACUUAAAUUUGAUAGUACUAGGAUUUUAUUCUCUAGGACAAAACUUUCAUUCACAGUUGCAGCAAUUUGCACUUUUCAGCAGAAAAGAGCUUGUUUGAUUCUGUUACUCAGCAUCAGCUCUGACGGACAAGUGUGGUGCCUGAGCAAAAAAAAAAAGCUGAGAAGAAAGUGGAAGAGGGAGAAAAUAAAAACAGGUGGCAAGGGGCCCAGGAACAAUAAAAGCCUGAAUGAGAACACCUUUAUCACUUUUGCAACAGCAGCUUAAAGGCCCAAGGAGAGAAAUAGAUUUUGUAAAUCAGACUAAAUAUUUUUUACAGGGUGCAGUGUGCAGCUUAAGAACCCAGCUGGGAAAAAUAGCUCCUGCAAAUCAGUGAAGAAACCAUAUUUUACUGGCUGCUGUUUAGGAGCAAGGAGAG